rnacentral:rRNA from 1 species
UCUGGUAGCAAUGGCAAAGAGGCCACACCGAAAUUCGGGGGACACGAAUUCCCCGAAUUCCAUCUUGAACACGGAAGUUAAGCUCUUUAACGUCGAUGGUACUGCAUGGGAGACUGUGUGGGAGAGUAGAACGCUGCCAGAU